UACGUAGGGGGCAAGCGUUGUCCGGAUUUAUUGGGCGUAAAGCGCUCGCAGGUGGUCCGAUGCGUCGUGCGUGAAAGCCCCCGGCUCAACUGGGGAGGGUCACGCGAUACUGAUCGACUCGAAGGCAGGAGAGGGUAGUGGAAUUCCCGGUGUAGUGGUGAAAUGCGUAGAUAUCCGGAGGAACACCAGUGGCGAAGGCGACACGCUGGGCCGUACCUGACACUGAUGCGCGACAGCAUGGGGAGCAAACAGG
rnacentral:rRNA from 1 species